rnacentral:misc_RNA from 1 species
GAAAUGCGAUACGUAGUGUGAAUUGCAGAAUUCAGUGAAUCAUCGAAUCUUUGAACGCACAUUGCGCCCUUUGGUAUUCCAAAGGGCAUGCCUGUUCGAGCGUCAUUUGUACCCUCAAGCUUUGCUUGGUGUUGGGCGUCUUGUCUCUAGCUUUGCUGGAGACUCGCCUUAAAGUAAUUGGCAGCCGGCCUACUGGUUUCGGAGCGCAGCACAAGUCGCACUCUCUAUCAGCAAAGGUCUAGCAUCCAUUAAGCCUUUUUUCAACUUUUGACCUCGGAUCAGGUAGGGAUACCCGCUGAACUUAAGC